CUUGCAUUUCAUAAUUGUAUCCGAUACACACAGAGAUGGCCUCUUAUUGGAGUAAAAGGAGGCGAGUCUUGUCCAACGCAAGGGAGACAGAGAACGAGAUUUUGCAGCAAUUACAUUUAAGUACAGUUAAUCAGGCUGAAAAUGCCCCCCCUAGCUUACCAGAUCUAGCACUGUGUGGGACAACUUCAGAAUUCGAGAACAGUCCUGACCAAAACACUACAGACAGUGAUGCCAGUGAAAGAGAGGAUUUUAGUGGGUUAUCCAGCUCUGAUGAAAGUGAGCCUGAUGAAAUGAGUUUACAAGCUAAACUAAAGCAAUGGGCAUCAACUUUUGGCAUUACUCUUGUUGCAGUUACCGCUCUUCUAUCAAUAUUGAGAGUACACCACUCUGAGCUGCCUAAAGAUGCCAGGACACUUCUUGGCACACAAAAGAAAAUAGCUGUGCAUGCAUUAGGUGGUGGUGAAUAUCACCAUUUUGGAUUGGCUAAGGGAAUUUUAUCAAAAUUGAAUUCAAUCCAUUUGCCUAGCUGCCUUCAGACAAUUCGGUUACAAUUCAACAUCGACGGUUUACCCAUUUUUAAGAGUUCCAAAGUUCAGUUUUGGCCAAUUCUUGCGAUGCUUGAUUGUGAUUACACAAAAAAACCUUUUAUUAUUGGUUUGUUUUGUGGAACUGGAAAACCAUCUAGUGUGUAUGACUACCUCAAAGAAUUUGUCAAUGACCUUACCCAGCUACUGAGGAAUGGAUUGACCUUCAGAGGUAAACCUCUAAAGGUGAUGGUGUGCUCGUUCAUUUGUGAUGCUCCAGCACGUGCUUUUGUGAAACAGAUGAAGUCCCACAAUGGGUACUCUGGGUGUGACAAGUGCAAUCAAGUUGGCGUGUGGCAAAAUAAAAUGACAUAUCCUGAAAUAAAUGCCAGGCUUAGAUCAGACGAAGACUUUGCUUUAAUGUCAGACACAGAUCACCACCUGCGACCUAGUCCCCUUACUGGCAUUGUUCAGAUGGUAACCCAGUUUCCCAUUGAUUACAUGCACCUCUGCUGUUUGGGUGUAACAAAAAAACUCAUUAUUUUCUGGAUGAAGGGCAAAAACCUGGCCAUAAGACAGCCAUCUAAUGUCAUCUCAGCUAUAUCAUCUAAACUGAUUGCUCUCCGUCCCCAUAUUCCAUCUGAAUUUGCCCGAAAACCACGAGAGCUGACAGAGAUCGAAAGAUGGAAGGCUACAGAACUAAGGCAGUUCAUGAUGUACAGUGGACCUGUGGUCCUAAAGCACAAUCUACCAGAAGAGAUUUUUGAGAACUUCCUGUUGUUUUCCGUGGGUGUGUUCUUAUUACUCAGCCCCAACCUCUCUGCACCCAUGAUUGAUUUUGCCAAUCGAGUCCUAACAGCAUUUGUUAAAAGCUUUGGAGAUUUAUAUGGUCAAGGAGAAAUUGUAUUUACAGUUCAUCAGGUGAUACAUCUAGCUGAUGUGUACAAACAGUUUGGUGCCCUUGACCGUGUCUCUGCAUUUCCUUAUGAAAACUUCCUUGGAAAAGUAAAAAAAAUGUUGCGAAAGCCUCAACUACCAUUACAACAGGUAGUCAAGAGACUGUCAGAGGUGCCUCAAACUGUUACUCCACCUCCAAGUAAGCAGCCCCUUUUGUACGAAAUGCACAAGGAUGGUCCUUUGCCUCUGCAAUUCAGUACUGCCAAACAGUACAGAAAGGUAGUAACAACAGAUUUCUGCCUGUCAACAAAGACUGGGAACAACUGCAUAGCAGUAGGACAGGAUAUUGGACUGGUCCAAAACAUUGUGCUAUCCUCUGGUUCAGUCUUCAUCAUCUACAGACGAUUUGGGUACAAGGAAUCCCAUUUCACAUAUCCCUGCCCCUCCUCUCGAAUAGGCUGUUUUCAGGUCCAUACGUUGGUAGAUGAUCUUGAGGUUGAGCUCCUUGGGGAUGUCAGCAGAAAAUGUGUGCUUUUUCCAGACCAAAACCAUUAUGUUGCCAUCCCUCUUCUUCACCAAUCCUAAUUCCUUGUCUUCUGCAAUCCAAAAAAGAAAAAAAAAAAGAUUUUUUUGUUAUUGAAUUUUCUUUAUAUAAAAUACACCAGUCCUAAAAUCGAAUUAAUGAAUGAAAAAAAAAAAAAAAAAACGACAAAUAGCCAAAAAAUAUAUAUCUGAGUGGUGACAAACUGCUGUAAAUCAGCUGUGAAUGAUCUGAGUAGUUAGAGUGCUUCAGCUGAGUAGCAUUGUAUACUCUUCCUGCGAAGUGCUUUUUUUUUCUUUCUAUUUUUUUGGUUUUUGAGAAGGUAAUUCUGGGGAGGGGGCAUUUGCCUCGAGCCCGGCAAGCCUUUGAAGAUAGUUAGGUUGUAGAUAGUUAGGCUUAGAUAGUAGUUAGAGACGACAGGUUUCAGAGUACGUCUUCACCCAAGUUAAGCUGGUGUAUGCAGUUCUCUCACCACUUAUGAUAGUUAUUCAAUUUUCAAUUAAAUUUUAUUUGUAUAGCCCUUAAUCACCAUUACAGUCUCAAAGGGCUUAACAGGCCAAAUAUUUCUGAGACUGUGAUCAACUGUGAUCACUGUUGAUCUUGCAACAUACACACUAUGUUAUAUAUAACAACAAUGACUGAUAUAUAGGCCAAAUAUAUUUCUAAGGCUUAUUUUUCACACUCAAAACACAGCGAUUUUUUAUUUUCAGAUGGCACAGGUGUGGAAGGUCGUCGAAUUCAAAGAUAGGAGCACUACCAUAGUGCCAAGCAGCUGGUUGGAGGAGGCAGGGGAGUCAUGGAAUUGUUUCUGGCCUCCUAGUUCUUACGAUCAUAACCGCCUCCAGAAGGCAGUCGCGCACCACCUUCCUCCAGGUGCAGCGUGGGACGUGCACGGUGACGUGAGGGUCUUGGUUAGCUGUGCAACAUAUGUUAAGGCAAAGGACUACCUGAAAAAGUCCUUACUGUGUUUAACAUCAGACAUACAGUCAGAGGCUGAAGACCCUAUCAGAAGGAAAAAAAGGCCAAACUCACGCUACCUGCAGGAGCCAGCUGGAAGAGUCCAGACCACUACGGGCCCGCCGCAACACUUUUUUGAAGGUGUGGACACUGAUGACGAGGCACCACCCCCCCCCAAGGAAAACAGCACGACAAUCUGUAGAUGUAGGGCCAGACAUCAAUAGUGAGUGGCUAUUUGGGCCAUCGACCACCCAAAGAGCUCAAUCAAAUGGCAGCCAGAGACUUGAGCUACUACAUCUAGAUACAGUCCAACCAAGCCACCAGCUAUUGCAUGAUAUGGGAAUAUCUAAAGUUGUGGAGCUGCUUUCCAAAGUGCUGGAAGAAAAUAAAUUGAUGAAAGCGGAAAUUACCAACCUGGGGAGUGAAGUGAGGGCGCUUAGGAGAGAGAUGGUGAGGCCGGUAGCACCAGAAGCUGCCGCUUCGUCCAUCAAGCUGCCUCUGAGGACAAUGGAGGAGUUUCAAUUAGCAGAGGCUGUUAUGAGAGAAACCCCCUGCGAAAAACAAAAGAUGAUCUUAACAUUCAGUCUAAUUGGAGGGCACACUGCAGAAGAGGCCGUAAGAAGGAUGUUGCAGAGUGGCCUAACAAAUAACCUGGCGUGUCGCUUCAACUGGGCGGGGAAAGGCUUCAAGGAAGCCUUUAAAAGCACUGUCCUUAGUGAUGUACUGUUCGCUGCACUCCAAAAACAGCUGCCAGGGACCACCCAUAUUGUUUUUUCAGGGACACUGAAGAAGUGGCUUAAAUAUGCACCGGAGAGAGAGGGAGGUGGAGGGAGGCGAACAAAUGAACGCGAUCAGGCGCCGCAGGAUCCUCGACCAUGAAUGAAUGUGUGUGUGUAAAUAAUAAUUAUAUUCGUUAGAAUAAUAGGGUUAAUUGGGUUUGGGUUGUUCGUGUUCGGUUAUCACGUUGUAUUGUUCAUUAUUGUCGCCACCGUUGUUGUGUCAUGUUUGUUUGUUGGGUGCUCUAUGUGAGAGGAUUUUAAUAAAAGUAGUCUGCGUCGAGGGGUGUACGGGGCGCAGAACUACAGUUAAAUAAA